rnacentral:SRP_RNA from 1 species
GCUGGGUGUGGUGGCUCACGCCUGUAAUCCCAGCAUUUUGGGAGGCCGAGGUGGGUGGAUCACCUGAGGUCAGGAGUUUGAGACCAGCCUGGCCAACAUGGUGAAACCCCGUCUCUA